AACGAACGCUGGCGGCAUGCCUAACACAUGCCAGUCGAACGAGACCUUCGGGUCUAGUGGCGCACGGGUGCGUAACGCGUGGGAACCUGCCCUUAGGUUCGGAAUAACUCCCCGAAAGGGGUGCUAAUACCGGAUAAUGUCUUCGGACCAAAGAUUUAUCGGCUUUGGAUGGGCCCGCGUUGGAUUAGCUAGUUGGUAGGGUAAAAGCCUACCAAGGCGACGAUCCAUAGCUGGUCUGAGAGGAUGAUCAGCCACACUGGGACUGAGACACGGCCCAGACUCCUACGGGAGGCAGCAGUGGGGAAUAUUGGACAAUGGGCGAAAGCCUGAUCCAGCAAUGCCGCGUGAGUGAUGAAGGCCUUAGGGUUGUAAAGCUCUUUUACCCGGGAUGAUAAUGACAGUACCGGGAGAAUAAGCACCGGCUAACUCCGUG
rnacentral:rRNA from 1 species